GACGAACGCUGGCGGCGUGCUUAACACAUGCAAGUCGAACGGAAAGGCCUCUUUCGGGGGGUACUCGAGUGGCGAACGGGUGAGUAACACGUGAGUAACCUGCCCUUGACUUUGGGAUAACUUCAGGAAACUGGGGCAAAUACCGGAUAGGAGCUCCUGCUGCAUGGUGGGGGUUGGAAAGUUUCGGCGGUUGGGGAUGGACUGGCGGCUGAUCGGCUUGUUGGUGGGGUAGUGGCUUACCAAGGCUUUGACGGGUAGCCGGCCUGAGAGGGUGACCGGCCACAUUGGGACUGAGAGACGGCCCAGACUCCUACGGGAGGCAGCAGUGGGGAAUAUUGCACAAAGGGUGGGAGCCUGAUGCAGCAACGCCGUGUGCGGGAUGACGGACUUCGGGUUGUAAACCGCGUUCGCUCAGGACGAAGCUUUGUGUGACGGUAGUGGGUAAAGAAGCACCGGCUAACUACGUG
rnacentral:rRNA from 1 species